rnacentral:misc_RNA from 2 species
UUUCACCUCACACAACCAAUGGUUUUUAAAAGCUGUAAUGGCGCCAAGUGGUUAAUGUGGUAUUGAGUGUAUUCCCACUUGGUAAACGAGAGGGUCACUUGAAAUACUUGGUAGCUUUAUGAGUCCGAUAAUGCUUCGCAUAUUUCGAAAAGCUCAAAGUACCGCUAAGUUUAAGCCUUUACUGGUCACUCUUUAGCUGGGAAAUUUUUGAAAUGGAGUGGUUGUCACUGACUUUAUACCAAACUUGAUAUUGAAUAGCAGUCGUAGUUGCUGUAACUAUUCAAAAUCUUUGAAC